UACGUAGGGUGCGAGCGUUGUCCGGAAUUAUUGGGCGUAAAGGGCUCGUAGGCGGUUUUGUCGCGUCGGGGAGUGAAAAACCUUGGGCUUAACUCAGGGCUUGCUUUCGAUACGGGCAGACUAGAGGUAUGCAGGGGAGAACGGAAUUCCUGGUGUAGCGGUGAAAUGCGCAGAUAUCAGGAGGAACACCGGUGGCGAAGGCGGUUCUCUGGGCAUGAUCUGACGCUGAGGAGCGAAAAGUGUGGGGGAGCGAACAGG
rnacentral:rRNA from 1 species